AUUAUCGUCCGUGGUUAACUGAAAUACGUAAAUGUAUUGACCUUACUAUCAUCGAGCUUAUCACAAAAUUACCAAUUGUUUUAAUUAUUAUCAUCACGCUUCACAAUGGAUCAGAUUACACGAUAUUUAAUAAUACAAGGAUGGCGUAUUUGGACGGGUAAAUAUUUACCCUACUCCGACAUGAUUGAAAUUAUCUGAAUUCAGAUCUUAUUAUUGGUUCUGUUCACAUCGAUCAUAGUUUUCACAAGUGUUACAAAUUAUCAAUAGCCCUUUGGCUUAGGGGAUCGGGGGUGGAACUGUCACCACGCAGUCACACGUUCGAUUCCUCUCUGUCCGGGAAGCUAUUUGCUAAUCCUACUCGGCUCGGUGUUAGUACGGGGUGGGUGCUCCUCUCAUGGUUGGGUGAGCCCGGCCAGACGGUCUGGCAAUGCCAGAAAGGGGAGCCCUCGCAGAGUCCGUUCUCUGUGAGAAGAUCCAACUCAUCGCCAGAGAUAUAUGGUGAGAAGGAACCGUCACGGAUUGAAAACCAGAUGAGUUAAUCUGAUAUCUAAUGACGUUAAAGGAUUAUUUUCAUUUUCAUUUUUUUCAUUAUCGUGAAUAUCAAAAUUCCCAAAGCUCGUAAGACUCGGAAACGAGUGAAACACAGGCUAAAAGUUCACCGACCCAGCAUCGUUCGAAGAACUAAUUACCAGAACUUGUGAAUAUUUAUGUCUCAAAGUUUACUCGGGAUUUAGCUGAAAUGGAAUGAAAGCUUGUAUCAUAUCAUUAUGACGAUACUUACUUAUAACCUUGGUUUUGUAUCUCCUCGUUAGUGUCAUAAAUAGAACAUGGUGGUAAAAGCUAUGCAGUCACCAUCACAAUUCUAAUAUUUGCACUGCAUACAAAGACUUUGCUAAUGUUGACGUUGGGAAAUUCACGUUAACUUGAGUAUUAUAUACCUGGCGAUAAUUUGUGCAUGCGUUUUUAUUACUGAAUAUUUAAUCAAGUCUAAGCAUCAAACUCUUAAAGUAUUACUAUUUGAAAAGUUUAACCUUCUAAAUUCCACGUACAAUGUAAUAUAGUUGAGUGUGUAGUAAUGUUUGAUAGCGCCGAUUUCUACAUAAUUAUAACUGGAAAAUCUUAGUUUUAGGAAAAACAUUGGUUCAUGCUGAUAAAAAUAAUGGGCGAGAGUUCAUUUGUUCGAUAAAUGUCAACAAUUCCUCAGAAUAGAACGUGGCCUUGCAUCUCGAAUGAAUUCAAUCAACACGUUUGUAAAAAAUGCUCUUUUUGGUUAUCAUGACAGGAGCAGCAGGCAGCCGCAGAGGAUGAUCACCAGCUACACUCAUUGUAGUGUUACGUACACAGAGUGACGACAGACAUUGACGAUGCAGAUGUGCUUACGCCAAAUUUAUGUCGCUCCAACCGAAAUUGGCAUCCGAAAUUGGCAUCAAAUUGAAUAAAAAUAACGUUCCAUGACAGAUGGAUGAUGGUGACGCUGGCAGUUUAACUAAAUUGCACUGUAAAUUAUAAUAAAUUAUAAUACCAAGAAAAUACCCAAAUACUGAAAUAUUCUGACAAUCAGUAAACCACAGUUAUUCUGUUCAUGGGGUUGAGCUGCAUUUAUAAAAACGAAUGUUGUUUUGGCUGUUACACAAGAUGCUUCCGAGUUCGCAGGUUUUUCCGAAGGAGCAACAAAACAUCGCCGGAUAGCGUAAUGUCCAAAUCUCCGCCGAGCAUUGCCUUGACCGCGGACCGAACGCAAGCAGACGAGGAGAGCAUACAGGAACAGUUGUCGCUUUUUCAUUUUGGACAGAAAACGACGGGCAGAAGGUUUUCUCAUCCGAAUCAGAUCAAAUACGUUGACGAGUAUGAACGGCGGAAAGGAUUGUCCCAACCAGGAAGCCCGUCCGUGUCUCUCCAUCCCGAAUUCGAGGAAUUCGAUUAUGAUGAGGUUCACGUCAACAAGUUCUUAAUUGACAGUAAAAAGGACGACGGUGUUGACCACGAAGGAGAAAAAACUCCAAGUCCUGUGAUGGAGAAUCCUGUUGUACCUCCUGGUAUAUUAAUAGGUUAAGAUCAUAAACUUUGCUUGUUGGGCUUUCAAUCUCAAUUUCAUUACAAUUUAAACCUAAUAAAUUGACAUGCCAAUUGUAAA